AGGACAGCGCUAUGGCUGAGCCUGGUCACAACCCCCAACCUUCUGCCAGAGAAGGCGGAAGAACUGAAAGGCGCACAUCCCGGCUUCUGUGGCUGUUGCUUUGGGCUGGGACCACCUUCCAGGUGACCCUGGGAACCGGACCCGAGCUUCACGCCUGCAAAGAGUCAGAGUACCAUUUUGAAUACACAGCGUGUGACAGCACAGGUUCCAGGUGGAGGGUCGCCGUGCCACACAGCCCGGGCUUGUGCACCAGCCUCCCAGACCCCGUCAAGGGCACCGAGUGCUGUAAGCAGCCUUCCUGUUCCUGGGUCUCCCUGAUACUUAGCUCUGACCUCUGACCUAAGCCUCCUG
rnacentral:lncRNA from 1 species